GCUCUAAAAAAAAAAAAAGAAAAAAAAUCCUCUGAAUGAGGAUCUGGGACCGGCAUCGGAGCUCCGUCGAGCCUCCGUUCUCAGGCGGUCACGUGCCCACGCGCCACUGCGAACGCCGCCACGUAUGACGGCCGGAAACUAGAAAGUUUCCUUUCUCCGACGCGAAUAAAAAAAAGAUAAACCGCGAGGAUCUUGCUCGAUCACUGAUGUCUGCGUGCUGAUGGAGCCAACUCCAUAUCGUAGUGCGAGGAGAUUUGAUGAUUUCGGCGUGAUUUGCGCGUCGAUGGUGGCAUGAUGUAUGACGGUAAAGUCGAGGGAUCACGGCAUGCUUGGUGGCGAUGAUUGGGCUGUUGAAUCUGUGAGAUGAAAAGUCACAUCGCUUGGAGUGCCUGAAGCUUCCAGAAAUUCUUUGCGGCGCUGAGUUCUCAGGAAACCCUAGGGUUCCCUUGUCUGUUUUUACAGUUUUGAGCUUUUGGGCCUCGUGUAAACCUGGGUCAAAAGGGGUUAAGUUAUUUUUGGGGUGUAAAUGAGUCUGAUAAGUUUGGGCUUAUGGGUUAAUGGUUGUAACCGGUCUGCUAGGUCUAGGUUAAAUAGGUCAAUUAAUUUGGGCCUUUGUAAACUGGACUGUAAUGGACUUUUUAAAUAAAUAAACAUUUAUUUAUUUAA